GACGAACGCUGGCGGCGUGCUUAACACAUGCAAGUCGAACGGAAAGGCCCUGCUUUUGUGGGGUGCUCGAGUGGCGAACGGGUGAGUAACACGUGAGUAACCUGCCCUUGACUUUGGGAUAACUUCAGGAAACUGGGGCUAAUACCCGAUAGGAGCUCCUGCUGCAUGGUGGGGGUUGGAAAGUUUCGGCGGUUGGGGCUGGACUCGCGGCUUAUCAGCUUGUUGGUGGGGUAGUGGCUUACCAAGGCUUUGACGGGUAGCCGGCCUGAGAGGGUGAACGGCCACAUGGGGACUGAGAGACGGCCCAGACUGCUACGGGAGGCAGCGGUGGGGAAUAUUGCACAGUAGGCGGAAGCCUGAUGCAGCAGCGCCGCGUGCGGGAUGACGGCCUUCGGGUGGUAAACCGCUUUCGCCUGUGACGAAGCGUGAGUGACGGUAAUGGGUAAAGAAGCACCGGCUAACUACGUG
rnacentral:rRNA from 1 species